UACGGAAGGCAGCAGUGGGGAAUAUUGCACAAUGGGCGCAAGCCUGAUGCAGCCAUGCCGCGUGUAUGAAGAAGGCCUUCGGGUUGUAAAGUACUUUCAGUCGUGAGGAAGGUGUUAAGGUUAAUAACCUUAGCAAUUGACGUUAGCGACAGAAGAAGCACCGGCUAACUCCGUGCCAGCAGCCGCGGUAAUACGGAGGGUGCGAGCGUUAAUCGGAAUUACUGGGCGUAAAGGGCACGCAGGCGGUUAAUUAAGUUGGAUGUGAAAUCCCCGGGCUUAACCUGGGAAUGGCAUUCAAGACUGGUUAGCUAGAGUCUUGUAGAGGGGGUAGAAUUCCAUGUGUAGCGGUGAAAUGCGUAGAGAUGUGGAGGAAUACCGGUGGCGAAGGCGGCCCCUGGACAAAGACUGACGCUCAUGUGCGAAAGCGUGGGGAGCAAACGAGGAUUAGAUA
rnacentral:rRNA from 1 species